rnacentral:rRNA from 1 species
GACGAACGCUGGCGGCGUGCCUAAUACAUGCAAGUUGAGCGCUGAAGGUUGGUACUUGUACCAACUGGAUGAGCAGCGAACGGGUGAGUAACGCGUGGGGAAUCUGCCUUUGAGCGGGGGACAACAUUUGGAAACGAAUGCUAAUACCGCAUAAAAACUUUAAACACAAGUUUUAAGUUUGAAAGAUGCAAUUGCAUCACUCAAAGAUGAUCCCGCGUUGUAUUAGCUAGUUGGUGAGGUAAAGGCUCACCAAGGCGAUGAUACAUAGCCGACCUGAGAAGGUGGACCGCCACAUUGGGAAUGGGACCCCGCCCAAGCCCCUACCGGAGGCAGCAGUAGGGAAGCUUCGGCAAAGGAGGAAAGUCUGACCGAGCAACGCCGCGUGAGUGAAGAAGGUUUUCGGAUCGUAAAACUCUGUUGGUAGAGAAGAACGUUGGUGAGAGUGGAAAGCUCAUCAAGUGACGGUAACUACCCAGAAAGGGACGGCUAACUACGUG